rnacentral:rRNA from 1 species
AGGACGAACGCUGGCGGCGUGCUUAACACAUGCAAGUCGAACGGUGAAGGAGAGCUUGCUCUCCGGAUCAGUGGCGAACGGGUGAGUAACACGUGAGUAACCUGCCCUUGACUCUGGGAUAAGCGUUGGAAACGACGUCUAAUACCGGAUACGAGCUUCAGCCGCAUGGCUAGGAGCUGGAAAGAAUUUCGGUCAAGGAUGGACUCGCGGCCUAUCAGCUAGUUGGUGAGGUAAUGGCUCACCAAGGCGACGGACGGGUAGCCGGCCUGAGAGGGUGACCGGCCACACUGGGACUGAGACACGGCCCAGACUCCGUACGGGAGCAGCAGUGGGAAUAUGCACAAUGGGCGCAAGCCUGAUGCAGCAACGCCGCGGUGGGGACGAAGGCCGUUACGGUGUAAACCUCGUUUAGUAGGUAAGAAGACGAAGUGACGGUACCUGACAAGAAAAGCAACCGACUAACUACGU